rnacentral:misc_RNA from 1 species
CCACCUUUUUGGGCAGAAACUGAUAUGGGAAUAUUUCGUCAGAUACUGCGAGGCAAACUAGAUUUAGAAUCUGAACCUUGGCCUGGAAUUUCAGAUAGUGCAAAGGAUUUGAUACGCAAAAUUCUUGAUAGGAAUCCAAAGAGGAGGUUAACUGCCCAUGAAGUUUUGUGCCAUCCGUGGAUCGUGGAUGACUCAAUGACCCCUGAUAAACCUCUUGAUUCUG